rnacentral:rRNA from 1 species
UACGAAGGGGGCUAGCGUUGCUCGGAAUCACUGGGCGUAAAGGGUGCGUAGGCGGGUCUUUUAAGUCAGGGGUGAAAUCCUGGAGCUCAACUCCAGAACUGCCUUUGAUACUGAAGAUCUUGAGUUCGGGAGAGGUGAGUGGAACUGCGAGUGUAGAGGUGAAAUUCGUAGAUAUUCGCAAGGACACCAGUGGCGAAGGCGGCUCACUGGCCCGAUACUGACGCUGAUGCACGAAAGCGUGGGGAGCAAACAGG